rnacentral:lncRNA from 1 species
GAUAACAAUCAGAAUAGGAGCCUUAUUAUUAAUGAUGGAAAAGGCAACAUGACAAUAAAGGCCGAAUAUUGUAAAAGAAAUUGCAGUAGACAGACGUUGAGUUUCUACAGUCCUACUGGAUUUCUUGUUGGAAGUGUUCGAGAUCGGUAUAGCAUUUCAUGUUUAGAAAUUAAUGUACUAUUCUUGUAUGAUGUAAUCUUUUUAAUAUAUGCAAAAAACAAAUAGGCUUGACCACUAGAUAAAUCAUAAAAUAACCAGAGAGUUAAUAUAAUACAUAUACAAUAUAAGGUCAAUGUCAGGAAAAUAUAAAAAAAUUUGUAUGAGGCUGAGAAACUGGGGAAGUGCGAGGGUCUACCGAGCCCUUUCCCGGUUUUGAACCGAGUACAAAAAAGUUUAUAUCUUUAUGGCAUUGGCCUAAUUAUGUUUUUAUACUGGAACUUAAAUUAAUACGUUGACAGCUUUUUAAAUCGCAACACAAAAGUAAAAAAAAUCCAUCCCUUAAUAAAUCCCUGAUAGUUAGACCUAGAAAGUAAUUUUAUUUGGCAUCGAAAUAUUACUGUUUAAUUUUGUCUUUACAUGGAUGAUGUCGUAACUACAAUCCCCUUUCCUUUCAUGAAUGUGACCUACCGAAUUAGAUUAUUUACUGGAUUUGUAAUCACAUAAGCAACACGACGGGUGCCACAUGUGGAGCAGGAUCUGCUUACCCUUCCGGAGCACCUGAGAUCACCCCUAGUUUUUGGUGGGGUUCGUGUUGUUUAUUCUUUAGUUUUCUAUAUUGUGUCAUGUGUACUAUUGUUUUUCUGUUUGUCUUUUUCAUUUUUAGCCAUGGCGUUGUCAGUUUGUUUUAGAUUUAUGAGUUUGACUGUCGCUUUGGUAUCUUUCGUCCCUCUUAAAUAAAUCUAGAUUUUUCCUCUUAAAUGAAAUUUGGUAGUUGUUAUUCAUACAGUAUCUAUUUGAAGUUUCUGUUGUGUUCCUUUUUUAAAAUGUUUGAUAUCAAACAUUAUGCUCGAUGAAAACUUUAAAUGAUAUUGUGAUCCAUGACAGAAAACAGCAUAUGGUUUGUUUUCAUAUGACUUUAUUUUGCCGAUACUAACACGAAUAUGUACAACUUUCAGAAUAAUAUUUACCGCAAUAUGUUAUUCUCUUUUCAAAAUGGAGCUACUGAUUUUCCCAAAUUUGUUUUUUCUAAUGUCUAGAUGUUUUAAAAUCAAGGCGGACAACGAGAUACGAGCAUCAAACUCGAUGAUCCUUUUUCUGCUUAUUCAUGAAAACAACGCUACAGGACCUAUGAUAAAGGUAAUCGUCAGCACAUGCAUUAUUUGUAUACAAGAUAAUUAUAAUAAAACAAGAUAUUUGGCAUACGACAAAAAAUAUAACAUCACACCUUUUACGAUUAAACGUAUUUUUACAGUCUUUACUGAUGUACUUUUGAGUGUACUAUAUAUAUGUACAGUUUAACGGCAAAAAAAAUAGGAACUAGCCUCUUUUCCUUUUAAGGUAUUUGUUUUUAUAUGAUGAUGGUUGGAAUACAACAAUAUAAUUAUAAUCUUUAUCGUGGCAGCGAUUUUACUUACAACCACUGCACCUUAACCUAACCUACUUCGAGUGGUUAAAUGAACGAAAUACACAUAUAUGAAGAAUAAAAGGGUAACAGUCUGUUUUGACUAAUGAGAAAAAACGAAAGACGACGGAAUACUCAUAAAUUAGCAUAGAAAACUAAGAAUAAACAAAAAGAUCUCCAUUUAAAACCCGGGCUUAUGUCAUGUUAUUCGGACAAAUAAGCAGACCAUUAUCUCCAAGUAGUACAAGUCAAGUUAUCAGAAUCCAGUGAUCAGCUUUGAAAUGCCUUUCAAUACAUGCAAGUCCCGAUAUUUUGUCUUAUUGUUAAUGUCAGUUAUACAAUGCAUUAUGUGAACAAUCAAUAGAAUCAAACACUUUUAAAAUAAAUUUCUAAAUUAGUUCAGAAAUGUCCAGUUACUGCACAAUAAUAUUGUUUCCAAAUUUUAAAUUUGGUCUUUGAUGGUUUCGCACAUGUAAUGUUAUCUUUUUAGAAUAUGAUGUUUUUACCCUCUCGAUGUAUUCUCCAUUAUAACGAAUUAUACCUUUAUACACUUUGGAAACAAGAAAAUAAAAUAAAAAAAGGUAUAACACAUAUAGUGUUAUGUACAAACAGGAAAAGUUAUCAGACCCUGACUAAAUAUGAUUUGGGUUAUAAUGUGGAAUAAGAAAAAUGCCACUUGAUUUGCUUUUGAAUUUCAGUUAUUUUAAAAAGAACCUAAUUGCAGAUAUGAUAAGUGUAGAAUAUAUAUUGAAAUCAACAGGUUAAACAUAGAACAAAUGAUUUUUUUAUGCAGAUAACAGACAGCAGUGGUGGAGAAUUAACAGCUAAAGUGACAAUAUCACGUGCACAAGAUGGCAAAGUUUUGUAUACUAUCACCUGUAAGUAUGCUUGUCCCUAUGAAAUUUAAAACAAAGGAUAAGGUAUUACAUCAGCAAAACAGUUAACGCUGGUACUGUAAAUUCAGAAAUUAUUGCGUGCAUUUAUUAUUGCAAUUUUGUCAAUUUUAAUUUUUGGGAUAAUGAGAAAAAUCCUGUUUAAUUCAUAUACACAUGAUACAUGAGAGUAAAAAGUAUUGCGAUUAUAAACCUGUCGCAUUUUCGCAAUAAUUAAAACAUCUAAAUAAUUUCUGAUUUUACAAUAAUCUUGAUGUAAGUUAAUUUUGAGAGAUAAUAAUAUGGCACAAUAUAAAAUAUAUAUUAUCAAGUAUAAAAGUAAAAAGACGUUAUGUUAUUGAUGACAAAAAUGAGAAGCUAAAUGAUAAAAUGCAUUUAACUUGUUUAAUAUCCUGUAUGCACUUAGAAAAAUCCAUAUAAAUGAAACACAAAAAUUGAAAGCAUUUACUUAUCAUGUCAUCAGAAUUUGGAACAAAGCGUAAAUUAUAAGAAAUAUUGCAUUUUGUCGUUUAUUUACAAUCUUGAUGAUACGGCAUUGUCUCUUAAACAGAGUUAAUUAAAGCUUUAUCUUAUACAUACAAGGAAUCGCAACAUAUAUUUUCAUGUUGAACCUGUCAAACUUCGAUGAUGGAUUUUGGUCUUUCGAAGACUAUGCGUUUAAAGUGGCAGUCACUAGUAAUCCUUACAGUUCUCAUGUCUUGUAAAAAUAAGAAAAAAAAUAAGUAUAAGCCUGGUACCUCUAAUUUAAUAACACUAUUGCAGCAAACAUAUCAAAAGGACAAAUCAUAUCCUUGGUCCGGUCUGCAAAUCACUAAACUAACUUUCCUUUCUGCUCCAAAUAACCUUUUUUCCGCAGAAAGUCAACACAUUUGCUCAAAAUAAAAAAAAAAAAGAAACCAAAAUUAUAGCAUUGUUAUGUUCUGCGUAAAAUCUUAAUUGGUAGAUAUAGGAAUAUGUGGUGUUAGUGCCAAUGAGACAACGCUCCAUCCAAAUAACAAUUUGAAAAUAAAGUAAACUAUUAUAGGUCAAUGUACGGCCUUCAACACGGAACCUUGGCUCACACCGAACAACACACAUAGUUUUGCACAUCAUAAUGUUUUGAUUUCUACGAUUUAAGAAUCUACUUUCUAUAACAUUUAAUGUCAAAAUAAAGAUCAAAGCUGUUAGUACAGAUUUGUCUUUAGCUGAAUAUUUGUACUUCUUAAAAUUUUACAAUUCACGUAUUACUAUUGUGGUACAAUCUUCUUUCUUAAAUUGGUAUUGGCUUCGUAAUUAAUGCAUAGUAAUUUUUGCUUUGUUUCAGACGUAAAGAAGAUUCAAGUAUUAUACAAGCUUCAAAUACUAUGUGCAGUUCUAUCAAACCUUCAACAGGAUCUGUCAAAACAUAACUUAUGUUGUAUAAUGAAAAGAAAACUUGAAAAAAUGCGCUGCUUUCCAUUGUAUUAUGAUAACAAGGUUAUGUUUUUCGUUCUGUGCUUUUUAUUUCCGUUAGUCAUUUUGAUGUAUUUUCUGUUUAUAAUUGUGUUUGUAGCAUACUUCGUUGGUACUCUAUUUACCGUUCUACUGUGCUUCCGCAGCGAUACAAAACCGGACUUGGCAUGCGUUUUAAAUUGGCCAUAUCGAUUGUGUAAAAAUAAACACGAUCGUUCCGAUUAUUGUUGGUGUUCAAAAGAUAAAUGUUUCAUAAUUCAGAUUUUAACAGUAGGUGUCAUCGUAUUUAUUUUCCAUACUUUUGCUCAAGGAUGGCGGGUAUAUUUACUGUAAAAUGUGGCGAUAUUCUUCUUUUCCG